CGGGGUUUAGAAGCAGGACCCAACUUCAGUGGAGUGACAAUAAUGAGGCCCGAGGGGCCCGGCCCUGUGCCUGUCCCCAUGAACCUCUUUGCCACAUGGGAAGUGGACAGAUGCUCCCCCAGCUGUGUUCCCAGACUUUGCAGUUUGACCCUCAAGAAACUCCUGGUGCUGAGAGAACUGGACCGAGAUCUGAGCUCAGUCGUCAUUGCCGUGAAGCUGCAGGGCUCAAAGAGAGUUCUCCGCUCCAAUGAGUACCAGCUUCCUCCAUGUGGGGUGAUGGAGACGGAGCUGGAGCUCAGCUUCUCCCUCCAGUAUCCGCACUUCCUGAAGAGAGACGCCAACAACCUGCAGAUCAUGUUACAGCGACGGAAGCGAUACAAGAACCGCACCAUCCUGGGCUACAAGUCCCUGGCCAUCGGGGUCAUCAACAUGGCGGAGGUGAUGCAGCGUCCUACAGAGGGGAUGAAGGUCCUGGACCUCCACAGUAACCGUAAAGAUCCGGCCAUCCGAGUGGCAGAAAUCAGCAUUUUCUCACUGUCCAGCCAGCCCAUCGAUCACGAAGAGGUCACCACCGUGACCAGACCAAAGGUCAAGGGCCUGGAUGCUGAACCGUACUGGGAAGAAGAGGAUGAUGAGGACAGUUAUUCCUCAGAGCAAGAUGGCAGUGAUGAAGGUCAAGGACAGGAUGUAGAUGAUGAAGAUGAUGAGAUGAGGAGACCGAAGAAGUUUGUCAGGAAGCUGAUGCACAGCACGUCUCUGAGCCGCCAGCCAAAUUUUAAACAGAAGUUUGUGUCUUUGUUGAAGAGGUUCAAAGUUAAUGAUGAUACAUUGGACACAGAACACACGUGUCGGGAGCAGGAGGAAGACGAGGAGCUUGGCCUCCUAUAUGACAGUCUGGAUGAGUGCAACAAUAGCGAGAGUGGCUUCGACAUAGAAGACAAUGACAGUGUCCUCAGCACCCCGAAACCAACGCUGAGGAGAUUCUUUGAAGGUGUCUCCAACUCUGGGUCUCAGACAGAAAUCGGCAGCAUCAAUGGUCAGAAAGGGGGCGAGAAGAGCCUUGGAGCGUUGGAGAAGCUUCCCCACAGUGCAUGCAUGGAGGACAGUAACUCCCGUCCGGCUGAUGAGGGCAGUGAUCCAGUGCCGGUUUCGGGCUCCGCUGUAGAUCUCGGUUCCUGGGAGCCCGGUGAGCGGAUUCCACAAAUGGGAGUAAUCUCCAGAACUGAGUCACAAAUCAUUAUGUCUCCCAGGCAGGAGAAUCCGCUGUCCCGUGGUCCUCGUAGUCAUUCCAUGAAAGAUCGGCAGAGUUUCCGAGGGACGGGCGAUCGCGGUGGCAGCGCGGAGUCCGAGCUCCCGUCAGAUUCCCGGUUCUGCAGUCAGGUUCCACGAAAGUCAGUAUUUGAUGAAUUAAAUGAAGUUCUGGGUUCAGAUCAGCAGCUUCCUGAGAGCGUGAUCCUGGUGAACACCUCAGACUGGCAUGGACAGUAUCUCAGAGAACACCUACAUGGGAAACUUCUGACCGUCUCCACCUGUUCUUCAGCUGAUGUCCAGGCAGCGUUCAGUGGUAUCAUCACUCGCAUCCAGAGAUACUCUAACUGUAACUCAUUGAUGCCUCCACCGGUUAAAGUUGUGGUUGCUGGUGACCAGAGUUACCUCAGUGUCAUCCUUCGGUUCUUCGUGGAGCAGCUCGCUGGGAAGACUCCGGACUGGCUCAGCUACAUUCGCUUCCUUGUUCUGCCUCUUGGUCCCCACCCUGUGGCCAAAUACCUGGCUUCAGUAGACAGUAAAUACAAUGCCCUCUUCAUGGACGCAGCCUGGAGAGAUGUGUUCAGUCAGGGGGAGCCGCCAUCUUCAGAGCGUCUUGACGUGGCGGGGAGAGUGGCACAGUACAUUGCAGGGGCCUCCGUCUCCCAUCAGCUCUUUAUCUCUGAAGCCAUGCUGACCUAUAGACAGAGGAGUGCUGAUGAGGAUUCUUGCCAGAAGUUUGUUCCGUUUAUCGGGGUUGUGAAGGUUGGGAUUGUUGAGCAGCCUCUUCCAGCCUCAGUGGACUCUGAUGAGGCAUCGGUUUGCAGUCCAGCCCUCCUCAGCUCAUCCUCAUCCCCAGGGACAGGCUCUUCUACUGUGAAGGAGGCCACAUCCACCCCACCACCGUCUCCUUCGGUCAGCAGUGGCCUGUCUACUGCCGGGACUUUAUCCACUGGGGUGGAAGUGAUGGGUCUGCAGGUGGAUUACUGGCAGUGGCAGGGGCCCGAACGCCGGAAAGAUGGAGACAGAAGGGACACUGCCACUAAGAACACAAUGAGGAGUAACUUCCGCUCACUGCAAGUCAGCCGCCUGCCUCCACCCGGCGAGAGCAACUUACCCCUGUGUAUGGCCAUGACCAUCGUGACUCAGGAGAAGAACAAAAAGGUCAUGUUCCUGAGUAAGAAGCCGAAGGAGAAGGAAGCAGAAUCGCGUAGUCAAGUGAUCGAGGGGAUCAGCCGCCUGAUAUGUACCGCCAAGAACCAGAACACCAUGCUGAGAGUUACCAUAGAUGGCGUGGACUGGAACGACGUGAAGUUUUUCCAGCUGGCAGCGCAGUGGCCGACGCAUGUGAAGCAGUUUCCUGUGGGCGUCUUCAGUCACGGGAAGAUCUGAUGUCACUGUGUGGUCCAUGUAGCACCAUCACCUCUGCUCUUCCGGAGUUAGUAAAUCAGGCAGAAGGUUCUUCACCCCGACACCAACCCUGACCUCAACGUGGAGUCCACACAUUGUCUGCACUAUUACCAUGGGGCCCGGCCGAGGUGCCCAACUCACAUGACUCGUCCCUUAAACUGGGAGGUUCCUCUUAUCAUGGGGCCCGGCCGAGGUGCCCAAAUCACAUGACUCGUCCCUUAAACUGGGAGGUUCCUCUUAUCAUGGGGCCCGGCCGAGGUGCCUGAAUCACAUGACUCAUCCCUUAUACUGGGAGGUUCCUCUUAUCAUGGGGCCCGGCCGAGGUGUCUAAAUCACAUGACUCAUCCCUUAUACUGGGAGGUUCCUCUUAAGGUGUCCUGGCCAAGGUGCCCAAAUCACAUGACUCAUCUCUUACAUGGGGAGGUGCCCAAAUCUUGUAAAUCAUUCCUUAUACUAGGAGGUUCCCCUGCCGAGGCUGGCGGCGGUCAGACGUGUGCAGAGUUCAGUACUCGGGAGAGAGGUAGCGGUCAGACGUGUGCAG